UACGGAGGAUGCGAGCGUUAUCCGGAUUUAUUGGGUUUAAAGGGUGCGCAGGCGGCACGGCAAGCCGGCGGUCAAAUCGCGGGGCUCAACCCCGCCCAGCCGUCGGAACUGCCGGGCUAGAGUGGGCGAGAAGUGCGCGGAAUGCGUGGUGUAGCGGUGAAAUGCAUAGAUAUCACGCAGAACUCCGAUUGCGAAGGCAGCGCACCGGCGCCCUACUGACGCUCAGGCACGAAAGCGUGGGUAUCGAACAAG
rnacentral:rRNA from 1 species